ACCACUGGGUUAACAUACCAUUUUCCUCAGUCUCUCUCUCCCUCCCUGUUUCUGUCUCUCCCUGUCUCUGUCUCUUUCUCCCCAUGUCUGUCUGUCUCUCUCUCCUUGUGUCUGUAUCUCUCCAUGUCUCCUCCUACCUCCCAAUGUGUGUGUGUGCGUGUCUCUCUCUCUCUCUCUCUUCCUGUAUCUCUACCUCCCCAUGUCUGUCUCUCUUGGUCACUGUGUCUGUCUCUCCAUAUCUCCUCCCUCCCCAUGUCACUCCUCUUUCUUCCUCUCUAUGUUCGUCUCUCUCUCUCUCUGUAUGUCUGUCUGUCUGUCUCUCUCCCUGUGUCUGUCUCCACGUCUCUGUAUAUCUCUCCCUGUGUGUCUCUCUCUCCAUGUCUGCUCCCUCCCCAUGUGUGUGUGUUUCACUCUCUCUCCCUCCCCAUGUCUGUCUCUUUCUCCAUGUCUUAUCCCUCCUUGUGUCUGUCUCUCUUUCCCUGUGUCUGUGUCUCUCCAUGUAAGUCUCUAUCCCACCUCAUGUCUGUCUCUCUCUCCCCACGUCUGUUUCUCUUUCCAUGUUUGUGUCUCUUUGUCCCUGUCUCUUUCUCCCACCCAAGUUACUCUCUUUCCAGAACUGUCUCUCUUUCAACAUGUCUGUGUCUCACUCCCUCUUUCUCCCCCCCCCCCAUGUCCCCCUCACUCCCCAUGUCUCCUUGGUUCUGUGUUUAUAUAUCACACACACACACACACACACACACACACACACACACACACACACACACACACACACGGGUUGGAGGUUUCUAUAUAUGUGCACUCUCUUCUAUUUCUAUCUCUCUCCCUCUCUCUCAUAUCUGGAACCCCUCCCCCCUAAAAAUCCUGCAUUUGCCCCUGGACUGUCACAAAGAGAACUCGGACAGACAGCUCCAGUGAUGAGGAGGGCACAGCUGCGGGCAGCCAGAAAACAAAGAGCCUUACGUACACCUGGUGCGGAGGUGCAGCCCUGCCCCACCCCCAACCCGAUCGCAGGCCGCGCCCAUGUUCCCCUGGACUACGCGGAGAACACCAGAGGAGCGGAACCCAUAACUUCUACUGAGGCUAUCUGUCCGUCCUGUGUGAGCUUGCAUGGAAGGAGCAACGGUGGCUGGGACCCGGGAGCUGCAUUAGAGGAGCAUUUUGUUUGUGUGCCUCACAGAGCCCUAUGCACAUAGGUUCAUGAGAAGGAGGAGGAGGAGUCAGUGUAGGAGGAGGAAGUGGGCUCUUCAGAAGUAGAUAUCCAACACUACAUUAGAGCAUGAAACCCCAUAAUGACAAAUAGAACUACAGUAACAGCAACAAGAAAAACAAUGCCCCCAUGUCUUCAUUCCAGGAAUAGGUCAGUUUGCUUGUCAGACAUAAAGCAACUUGUGUUACUAAACCAUCAUGUGACAGACAAGGAGAAUGGAGAAUGUAAACGGCAAUCCAGAAAUUCCAAUUAAACAUGCUCUUAAAACAUUGUAAUUAUUACUAUACAUAUUAUCACAGAAAUACUUUUGCAAUAGAUAACUAAUAACCUUCAUUACAUACAGUGGCUACUGAGCUGCUCUCAUAUCUCAUUGUGUGUUUGUUGUCAUUGACUGUUAUUUAAUUGACUCUUUUAGGAAGCGUUCCUCUAUGGAAAGCUUCCUAAAAGAGCCAUAUGUAGGGUCACCACCUGGUAUUUUCCCAGCAUGCCCAGUACAAGAAGCGGCUUGAUGCCAGUGUUAUUAAUAUGGCACAACAAAUCAGUUAUUGAAGGGCUGUUAGUAAUCCAACAGCGAGACAAACAGGUAAGCAUUAAGGUGACCUAUGAUAAAACACUGUACCUGUAUGUAUGUAUGUAUAUGUAUAUAUAUAUAUAUAUAUAUAUAUAUAUAUAUAUGUACAGUAUGAACUAUU